CCGCCGCGGUAAUACGUAGGAGGCAAACGUUAUCCGGAUUUACUGGGCGUAAAGCGCGUGCAGGCUGUUCAAUAAGUUGGGCGUGAAAGCUCCCGGCUCAACUGGGAGAGGUCGUUCAGUACUGUUGGACUAGAGGAUGGUAGAGGAAGGUGGAAUUCCGGGUGUAGUGGUGAAAUGCGCAGAUAUCCGGAGGAACACCAGUGGCGAAAGCGGCCUUCUGGACCAUUCCUGACGCUCAGACGCGAAAGCUAGGGUAGCGAACGGGAUUAGAGACCCCGGUAGUCCUAGCUGUAAACGAUGUGAACUUGGCGUCGGUGGGAUUAAAUCCAUCGGUGUCGUAGCUAACGCGAUAAGUUCACCGCCUGAGGACUACGGCCGCAAGGUUAAAACUCAAAGGAAUUGACGGGGACCCGCACAAGCAGCGGAGCGUGUGGUUUAAUUCGUUGCUACACGAAGAACCUUACCUGGGUUUGACAUAUAGGUUGUAGGGAACUGAAAAGGGACCGACCCUUCGGGGAGCCUAUACAGGUGUUGCAUGGCUGUCGUCAGCUCGUGUCGUGAGAUGUUCGGUUAAGUCCGCUAACGAGCGCAACCCUCGCCGUAUGUUAUACGUGUCAUACGGGACUGCCGGUAAUAAGCCGGAGGAAGGUGGGGAUGAUGUCAAGUCAGCAUGACCUUUAUAUCCAGGGCUACACACACGCUACAAUGGUCUGUACAAUGGGUAGCCAAGCCGCGAGGCGGAGCCAAUCCUGAAAGCAGGCCUCAGUUCAGAUUGCAGUCUGCAACCCGACUGCAUGAAGCCGGAGUUGCUAGUAACCGCAGGUCAGCAAUACUGCGGUGAAUACGUUCCCGGGUCUUGUACACACCG
rnacentral:rRNA from 1 species